rnacentral:RNase_P_RNA from 1 species
AAGGUACAACGGGUAGUUGCUUGAUUUAUUUCAAGAGGAAAGUCCGAGCUGCUCUAAGACAGUGUUCCAUUUAAUUAAUGGCCGUAGUAAUACGAGGGAAAGUGCAACAGAGAGUAGACUUCCGCCCAACGGCGGUAAAGGUGAAAGGGUGGUGUAAGAGACCACCAGUCUCUAUAGUAAUAUAGAGAGCUUGUAAACCCAACAUGGCAGCAAGAAACAGAUGGUCAGCGUCUUAGGGGUAAAAUUACAAUGUAAUCUUACUUAUGCUACUGUUUCGCUAGAGUUACUAUGUAAAUAGUAAAGUAGAUUAAUGCUACCAAAACAAAACUCGGCUUACUGUUGUACCUUUUUA